ACGCAUAUUUCCAAGGGCCAUGGCUGGUUGUGGCUGUGGAAUUUCCAGCUGCAUGCAAGAGCAACCUGGAGUCUUUGACAGCUCAGGUCAGCUCAGUACUUGGGCAGCUGCCACUCCCUUUCCUAUAGUG